GAAGAAGAUGGAGAUGUUCCCUGUGG
rnacentral:piRNA from 1 species